UGGAGUAUAGCCAAGUGGAAAGGCAUCGGUUUUUGAUACCGAUAUGCAAAGGUUCGAAUCCUUUUACUCCAG
rnacentral:tRNA from 1 species